rnacentral:lncRNA from 1 species
GGGCGGGGGACAGGGACAGGAACAGGGGGCGUCCCCGGGGCCACGGAAGCCGCGAGACGCCCAGGAGCUGCUGCGCGCGGGGUGACCGGGACAACUGUGCCUGUCCACCCGAGGCACACGUCUCUGGAAAUUUAAAGGAUAAGGAAGAGAGUUCACCGACUCUGUUAAUUGCCCGGAGCCCACCUGCGCCGGACACCCGUGUGCACCGGGGUGGCAGCUGUGCGACGCACUUGUGAGGCUCUGAGGGCGGAGCAGCUGGAGACGGCGACAGGGGACACCUGCUCCCGCAGACCCUCCUGCACCUGAGCACCGGCCGGGGAGUGGCCGCCUCGUGCUCUCUCGGACUGUGCUGUUCCGUGGUGUUCCAGACACGGACGCCCGCGGCCAAAUUCCUCUCUCGUGCGUUAUAAGCCAGAGGGCAGCGAGCUGAUCCCACAGCCUGAAGUCCUGCCUGCCUGCUUCACACACCAGAAAAUUCUAAAGAUGUCUCAAAACCUGACAACUGCUUGAACUCUCUGAAAGAUACUUUUUGUCCCUCCUGACUCUUGUGUCAAUUUCCCCUUGAAACUGCCUACUCUGCCACCCUACCUUAGAGAGCUUCUCUCUCUCUCUCUCUCUCUCUCUCUCUCUCUCUCUCUCUCUCUCUCUCUCUCAUUGCCAAUUAGAGUUACGAUUAUUUGUAUUAAACAUCACACACAUCAUUCACAAUUCACACAAGUCUGACAAACAAACAAACAAACAAACAAACAAAACAGAACGUGUGGCGGCGGGUGGCACAUGCCUUUAGUCCCAGCUCUUCACUAGAGAGGCAAAGGCAGGGGGAUCUCUGUGAGUUGGAGACCAGCCUAAUCUACAGAGCACCAGGACACCCGGGGAGACACAGAGAAAGACUGUCUCGAAAAAAAAAAAAAAAAGCAAAAAUCUCUCAAGUAAACAUGGCUUACUUGCUGGCCCCUCUCAGAAGCAGAACAGGGUGUCUGAAGACACGGGCAGUUUUCUGUGAUCAAUUUCUGUCACUAACUUCUCGAGUGUGGCUUCCACAUACUCCAUCUUACCCAGGCACACAUACACACUCCCUUAACCCUGGAGGAAAACACCUAAAACUAACAUUGAGACUCUCCCCAAAAAAGACAAUGAAUGAAGUCUUCCCAGAUGUUGCCAGAGAACCGUCUAAAGCGUCUGGAGAGAGCUCUGUAGUCAUGAGGCAGAUCUGUUUACUGUCUGGACUGCAAUGCACCAAUGGAAAGGUAUCCUCUCUGAGGGUUGGUUAGCAAAUGUGACGGAAUUAGGAAUAAUGAGGCCCUGGCUCCAAGUUCGAGGUGGGGGUGUUUCUUGCAGGCAGAAGGGCUGAUUUUUACAAGUGGGAUUCUACAGUUCAAUAGUAGCCAACUUGAACAAGGUAUUUUUAAAACUCCGAGGAAACUGAGUGGGUGGAAGGCACACUAGUGCUCUCAUUAAAGACUUGGUAACAUGAAAUUCUAUGGAGUUCUCUCCAUGGGAAUGGGUGGAAAAAGACUGAGGUGUGGGGGUGAGUUUUGAGUGUUCCUCCUGGGACAAUACAGAGAGCAAAGGGAGACUGAGAAUUCACUGGGCUUUGGAAAUUUAAAAUAAAUAAUAAAAGAAAAUCUAUGGUCCGCAGGCAUUUUCCCCCAGAAAUCCUAUUUGCAUGGCUAUAACUUAAUAUUUGUCAUUAGCAAUGUGGAGGGUAGUGCUCUGGCAGAAACCUUAAGGUACUUGGAUCCCCCAGAAUGUUGCCUGGGACUGCAGUGAGCAACCAUGUCUAUUUUCCAAGUCAAACAUUACAUGCGUUAACCAGUUGGGGAUGCAGUUACUUUUCCUCGAUUUUUAUCUAGGAGUGGCACAACACAGACACACACACACACACACACACACACACACACACAUACACACACAGAUAAUUAUCUAGGAUCCAAACUGCCCUCCCAUCCCCUAAGGGUGUGCUUCUCUAAGCAAAUGUGAGAAAGGCUGAGUCACCCACUUCAUUUCACAGUGGGGAGUCUGACGAAGGGGAGGGCUGGCAACAGCUCUUUGCUCCUCUCUGCAGGAGCAUCCUGUCCCUCCUUGACCCACAAGGAUCAGGCAGCGAGGCUUUUGUUGUGCGUGGACAUUUCUCGGGAGGCGUGCCUUGCUUAUCUUUAGACAGUAACCCCUGAGCUAGCUGGAAUGAUUGUAUUUUACAACCAAGGAAACUGAGUCUCUCAGACAGCUAUGAGAAUGUUGCUCAAGGCCACCCAGCUUCUGAGGGACAGAGCAAGACCACUGCUAGGCCGGUCCAUUUUCAAAUCCUAUCUGUCACCCUGUGAAGACACUGCCUGGAUGAUGGGUGUAGAGCUGAGAGCUCACUGCCUGAUGAGGUUUCAUCCUCCAGGGAAUAAAAACCGGCACCUGUACUGUGAUUCAAUCCGCCACACCCACCUUCUGAGAGCCCUAGAUUAGUAGGUGGUAUCUAAAUUGUAAUGGGACCAUUUAAAGAAACAAGCAACUUUGUUAUUCCAGGGUCAGUCAUUCUCAAACUUGCAGUGACACUGGGCCCCUGCCUUGUUUCAUAAGCUGAAUAAUGAAUUUACUGGCUUUCAGGCUCUGUGUUCUCAUACCUGUUUAUUUAAUGCAG